UACAGAGGGGGCAAGCGUUGUUCGGAAUUAUUGGGCGUAAAGGGCUCGUAGGCGGUCCAUCGCGUCGGGAGUGAAAAGCUGGGGCUCAACCCCAGUCCUGCUUCCGAUACGGGUGGACUAGAGGUAUGCAGGGGAGAACGGAAUUCCUGGUGUAGCGGUGAAAUGCGCAGAUAUCAGGAGGAACACCGGUGGCGAAGGCGGCAUUCUGGACCGGCAUUGACGCUGAGGCGCGAAAGCCAGGGGAGCAAACGGG
rnacentral:rRNA from 1 species